rnacentral:rRNA from 1 species
GAUGAACGCUAGCGACAGGCCUAACACAUGCAAGUCGAGCGACCGGCGCAGGGGUGAGUUACACGUAUCCAACCCGCCCUUUACUGGGGGACUGCCUUUCGAAAGAAAGAUUAAUACCCGACAUAAAGGACGGGGAUGCGUUUCAUUAGGUUGUUGGUGAGGUAACGGCCCACCAAGCCUUCGAUGGAUAGGGGCUCUGAGAGGAAGGUCCCCCGCAUUUGAACUACGGCACGGUCCAAACUCCUACGGAAGGCAGCAGUAAGUGGUAUUAUUCGAUGAACGGUAGCCUAAACCAGCCAAGUGGCGUGAAGGAUGAAGGCUUUUGGGUCGUAUACUUCUUUUGUGUAAGAGUAUGUAUUAUAUGAAUAAGGAUCGGCUAACUCCGUGCCAGCAGCCGCGGUAAUAC